AGGUUGAAGAUGCUCUUAGUAAAAUUAGGAUUUAGAAAAAAAAGAAAAAUAGUAAUUAAGAGAAGGGACGUUGCUUAAAUAAGGGCUAGAACAACCGUGUCUUAGAAACACCUGUUCUAAUUGUAUUGGCCAGAGAUUUUGAGAAGGAAACGAAAAAACGUUCCCUACGAAGAAAGAAAAGUCGAGACCCUUUGGUUUCUCUAUCUCCCUCUCUCGGGUGCUCCCGGACGAAGAAAAUCGCAUGCUGAAUCGAAAGGUGAGAAGGGAAGGAGAAUCAGGGAGUUGACAUCUCUUGUGGAGAAGAGAUUCAGGUUUCCUCAAGACAGUGUUGAGCUUUACGUUGAGAAGGUUGCCAACAGAGGUCUCUGUGCCAUUGCUCAGGCUGAGUCUCUCCGUUACAAGCUCCUCGGUGGACUUGCUGUUUGCAGGUAUGUACAUUUCAUAAAAAUAGAUGCAGUGUAUCUGUAAAACCAUGUUAGAAACCUGAUAGCUUCACAUAGUGAUAUCAUCACACAUUAUAAUGUGGAACCAGUUACUUGUUGUGUGUGUAAUAUGGUACGAACUGAUGAAUACAAACAUUAUAAUAUGUUUCCUCUGUA